UGGGGAAUUGUUCGCAAUGGGCGCAAGCCUGACGACGCAACGCCGCGUGGAGGAUGAAGGUCUUCGGAUUGUAAACUCCUGUUGAUCGGGAAGAAUGGACUUCGGGUUAAUACUCCGGGGUAAUGACGGUACCGAUUGAGGAAGCCACGGCUAACUCUGUGCCAGCAGCCGCGGUAAUACAGAGGUGGCAAGCGUUGUUCGGAAUUACUGGGCGUAAAGGGCGCGUAGGCGGCCUUCUAAGUCAGACGUGAAAUCCCCAGGCUUAACUUGGGAACUGCGUCUGAUACUGGGAGGCUUGAGUGCGGGAGAGGGAUGUGGAAUUCCAGGUGUAGCGGUGAAAUGCGUAGAUAUCUGGAGGAACACCGGUGGCGAAGGCGGCAUCCUGGACCGACACUGACGCUGAGGCGCGAAAGCUAGGGGAGCAAAC
rnacentral:rRNA from 1 species